GGUUAAGCGACUAAGCGUACACGGUGGAUGCCCUGGCAGUCAGAGGCGAUGAAGGACGUGCUAAUCUGCGAUAAGCGUCGGUAAGGUGAUAUGAACCGUUAUAACCGGCGAUUUCCGAAUGGGGAAACCCAGUGUGAUUCGUCACACUAUCAUUAACUGAAUCCAUAGGUUAAUGAGGCGAACCGGGGGAACUGAAACAUCUAAGUACCCCGAGGAAAAGAAAUCAACCGAGAUUCUCCCAGUAGCGGCGAGCGAACGGGGAGGAGCCCAGAGCCUGAAUCAGUGUGUGUGUUAGUGGAAGCGUCUGGAAAGGCGCGCGAUACAGGGUGACAGCCCCGUACACAAAAAUGCACAUACUGUGAGCUCGAUGAGUAGGGCGGGACACGUGGUAUCCUGUCUGAAUAUGGGGGGACCAUCCUCCAAGGCUAAAUACUCCUGACUGACCGAUAGUGAACCAGUACCGUGAGGGAAAGGCGAAAAGAACCCCGGCGAGGGGAGUGAAAAAGAACCUGAAACCGUGUACGUACAAGCAGUGGGAGCACGCUUCGGCGUGUGACUGCGUACCUUUUGUAUAAUGGGUCAGCGACUUAUAUUCUGUAGCAAGGUUAACCGAAUAGGGGAGCCGAAGGGAAACCGAGUCUUAACUGGGCGUUAAGUUGCAGGGUAUAGACCCGAAACCCGGUGAUCUAGCCAUGGGCAGGUUGAAGGUUGGGUAACACUAACUGGAAGACCGAACCGACUAAUGUUGAAAAAUUAGCGGAUGACUUGUGGCUGGGGGUGAAAGGCCAAUCAAACCGGGAGAUAGCUGGUUCUCCCCGAAAGCUAUUUAGGUAGCGCCUCGUGAAUUCAUCUCCGGGGGUAGAGCACUGUUUCGGCAAGGGGGUCAUCCCGACUUACCAACCCGAUGCAAACUGCGAAUACCGGAGAAUGUUAU
rnacentral:rRNA from 1 species